CCCCAGCGCCACAAGUGGGAACCACGCUUAUUGGGUCUAAAGCAUCCGUAGCCGGUUUGACAAAUGCCCUGUGAAAUCGUUGCGCUUAACGUAACGGCGUGCAGGGUAGACUAUCAAACUUGGGACCAGGGGAGGAAGACGGUAUUCUUGAGGGAGCGGUAAAAUGUGAUAAUCUCAAGAGGACCACCGAUGGCGAAGGCAGUCUUCCAAAAUGGAUCCGACGGUGAGGGAUGAAAGCUAGGGGAGCGAU
rnacentral:rRNA from 1 species